CUGGAUGGCGCCCAGAAUUUCAGUAGAGAGCUUCUUCUCCAUGGCCAGCCGCCCCUCUGUUGCUGCCGAGCUCCAGCUCUGGCCAGCAGCCAUGGCGCCGAGGAUUACCUGCAGGCGAGCAGCUCGGCCCUUCUUCCCUACGCCCAGCUAUUCUCCCUGCGCAGCACCUCCUUCUUCUACCUCUUGCCGGCGCCCAGCAGCAGCCAUCAACGCCAGCAGCACAACACCACGCCUGCUGUCCCAGCCACCCCAUCGAGUUCCCCUUUGCAACUUCCAUGGCGUAGAGGAGAACAGCAGCCCAGCCCUCCGAUCCAAAAAACGGCAGCCCUACGCAGAGCCUCUUCCCUUGCUCCUUCCGAUGUGCGCAGGGUGCUCGACGAAAUGUGCAGCAGCCCCGACGGCUCCGCGCGCUGCCGGCUUGCUGUUUUGUUGCGCAGUGAGCAGCACGCCGUGAUGCCCAUCAAUGGUUUGCUGUUUUUGCGCAGCCCCGUCGUCGUCAUCGUUCACCCCGAGGAACCCCGUAUUUUGCGUGGAGAAGAAGGCAAGCCGCUCGACGCUCGUCGAUGUUCGUAG
rnacentral:misc_RNA from 1 species